rnacentral:tRNA from 1 species
GCCGGGGUAGCUCAGUUGGUUAGAGCGCUGCUCUCAUAUGGCAGAGGUCGUGGGUUCGAAACCCACCCUCGGCA